rnacentral:rRNA from 1 species
GGAUAACCUACCCUUAGGACUGGGAUAACCCUGGGAAACUGGGGAUAAUACCGGAUAGGCAAUUUUUCCUGGAAUGGUUUUUUGUUUAAAUGUUUUUUCGCCUAAGGAUGGGUCUGCGGCCGAUUAGGUAGUUGGUUAGGUAACGGCUUACCAAGCCAUUGAUCGGUACGGGUUGUGAGAGCAAGAGCCCGGAGAUGGAACCUGAGACAAGGUUCCAGGCCCUACGGGGUGCAGCAGGCGCGAAACCUCCGCAAUGUGAGAAAUCGCGACGGGGGGAUCCCAAGUGCCAUUCUUAACGGGAUGGCUUUUCAUUAGUGUAAAGAGCUUUUGGAAUAAGGGCUGGGCAAGACCGGUGCCAGCCGCCGCGGUAACACCGGCAGCUCUAGUGGUAGCAGUUUUUAUUGGGCCUAAAGCGUCCGUAGCCGGUUUAAUAAGUCUCUGGUGAAAUCCUGUAGCUUAACUGUGGGAAUUGCUGGAGAUACUAUUAGACUUGAGACCGGGAGAGGUUAGAGGUACUCCCAGGGUAGAGGUGAAAUUCUGUAAUCCUGGGAGGACCGCCUGUUGCGAAGGCGUCUAACUGGAACGGUUCUGACGGUGAGGGACGAAAGUUAGGGGCGCGAACCGGAUUAGAUACCCGGGUAGUCCUAACUGUAAACGAUGCGGACUUGGUGUUGGGGUGGCUUUGAGCUGCUUCAGUGCCGAAGGGAAGCUGUUAAGUCCGCCGCCUGGGAAGUACGGUCGCAAGACUGAAACUUAA